GCAGUCGAACGGUAACGCGGAAGAGCUUGCUCUCUGGCGACGAGUGGCGGACGGGUGAGUAAUACUUAGGAAUCUGCCCAGUAGUGGGGGACAACAUUCGGAAACGGAUGCUAAUACCGCAUACGCACUACGGUGGAAAGUGGGGGACCUUCGGGCCUCACGCUAUUGGAUGAGCCUAAGUCGGAUUAGCUUGUUGGUGAGGUAAUAGCUCACCAAGGCGACGAUCCGUAGCUGGUCUGAGAGGACGAUCAGCCACACUGGGACUGAGACACGGCCCAGACUCCUACGGGAGGCAGCAGUGGGGAAUAUUGGACAAUGGGCGCAAGCCUGAUCCAGCAAUGCCGCGUGUUUGAAGAAGGCCUGCGGGUUGUAAAGCACUUUCAGUAGAGAAGAAAAGCCUAGGGUUAAUACCCCUGAGUCUUGACGUAACCUACAGAAGAAGCACCGGCUAACUCCGUGCCAGCAGCCGCGGUAAUAC
rnacentral:rRNA from 1 species